rnacentral:lncRNA from 1 species
AGCUUCACCCAAAUCCUUAUGUCUCGCCAAUUACAAGUGCAAUCAUGGAUCGAAGCUGAGUUGUCUCAUGAAUUUCGGAGUCCAAACUGUUCAUUGCGUGCCAGCAGGACAAACCUGCGAGUGUUUUUGGCGAUCUGCUUGUCAACCAGCGAAAUUCCCCACUUGCAGGACUACCACCACCGAAUGCGCCUGCAGUUGUAUGAGUCUUCCAACGGCGGGAAAGGCACGAAAAGUUUUACACCGACGAACCUAACAAGGGCAAAAAUACGCAGUCGCACCUCUAACUGCUAUUAUU